rnacentral:lncRNA from 1 species
CCAGCCCCGUGUUGCCGCCAGCCGCGGCUCCCGUGCGGUUACGGGAGCAGCAGCCCCGCCCCGCCGGCCCCCAGCUGGCUCCUCGCUCGAGGUUUCCUGUCGAGCGCUGCCAUCCAGGGCCCGGGUUAUCGCGCGUGAUCUCCCAUCUGAGCUGCUCACACGCUGCCGCCCGCCCCCACUUGCGGUCCCUUGUCCCCGAACCGCACCCGCCCCCAGGCCCCCGCGCUGAGAGACCAGGGCGUGGAUCUGCGCCGGGCUCCGGCGCUGGGGGCCGAGGGUCUGGUUUUUAGAUAUCAAAGGAGCCCGACACCAGGGUCCCCCAGACAGGCAAGGAGAGGGACCCGGCCUGGGGCCUGCCUUCGGUGGUGGGCACAGUGGCCAGGAUCGGGCCUGGCUCCGGCUGGCCCGGCACACGAGCACGGCGACAGUGGCAAGACUGGGAGGGCCGGCGCUGCCUCCUUGGGAAGCCCCGGAGAGACGCAACCCUGAGAGGCUGGGCCUUCCCACCCCCCGCCCCCUCCCCCUUCCUCAGAUAGCAGGGAGGAAGCGCCAGGGGUCUCUCCGUUCUCACAUAGGGGGACUCCAAAUGUCGUCAAACCUGCCACUCUCGGAAUCAACAGCUGCUUUCAUUUUGAGCCCUGUGAGCAAAAGUUUCAGGGCUUUCCUGGCACACAUACCCAGUGCAUGGAGAGCGCUAAAUUUUAUCUUCCCUUCUAGAGUGGGACAUUCCUGUGUGGAGCUCCGAGAAUACAUGCCGGCACUGCCUGUGCCUGGGGCUGUGCUGGCUCCCACCCAGCUGCAGGAAUGAGGGACCACGCCCUGCUUUCUCUACCUCCAGUCGUUUUCUGAGGACCGGCUUGGUGGGUGCUGAUGCCUGCCUGGAAGACCUCACACCCACAGUGUCUUAGAAGAUUCUGAAAGCAGUGUGAGGUACCAGCCUGCUUUAGCGCUAGGAGCUGGCAUGGUGGGGGUCUCAGGCUGCAUCCGCACAUUCUCAGCGGUGCUUUUGCUCCUGGAAUGGAGCCACAAGCUGCUCUGGGCCAUUUAGAGACUCUAAGUGGUUUGCUCAGGGCUAUAUGGAAGUGGGAGGUGGGGGACCUGGGCGCUCUGUAGCAUGCUUAGUCCCCCUGGCAGGGUUAGAGGUUAGUUGACCAGAGACAACGAGUCCAAUUCCCAAACAGACCAGAAUGACCAGCAAAGGAGAAAAGAACAAGGACACAUUGCAGCCAAAAUGGAGCUAGAAUCUUGCCUCUGUCCAUCCUUCACUGGAGUUAUCCUGGAUGGAGAAGGAACCAUAUCACCUGCAAAGCCUGGAAGGGGAGCCCUGCUGUGAGCGAUCCAGUGUUCAAGCUGGUCAUCAGGAGAAAGCUACUUAUGAUUUCCUAACAAGCCACCACAGAACAUCACAUUCCCAAACAUGCUCUUCACCGUCCCUGCUGUCCCCACGUGCCUAGCCCUGGUGUGGGCAGGAAUGAGUGGGAUUGGGAUGUUUUCUCACAGGUCUUUCUCAGGUGAGGCCCCAGGCUGUGACCAGGCCCCUGCCCUGCAUGUGACUCAGGCCUAGCCCCUGCUGGGGCAGGAAUGCC